rnacentral:rRNA from 2 species
UUUCAUUGGUAUUGUUAGUUAUGAUCUUUAAAUUAAAAGAAUUUGACGGUAAUUUAUCAUUUCAGAGGAACCUGUCCUUUAAUCGAUAUUCCACGUUAAAUUUUACCUUGAUUUUUGGCUUAUAUACCUCUGUUAUUAGAGUGUUUUAUUAGAAAUUUAUUCUCUUUUAUUUUUUUAAAAUAUAUAUCAGGUCAAGGUUUAGUUAUAUUAAGGUUGAGAUGGGUUACAUUUAUUUAAAUAUUGGUUUUUAUUAUUUAUUUAAUAAAAUUAAAUUGGAUUUGAUUGUAAUUUAUAUUAUAUACUAUUUAUGAUAUUUGUUCUAGAUUAAG